GUGAGGUUUUAGCCAUCGUACAAGUGCAAACAAAGACAAUAAGUAGGCUUCGUAAAGGAGAGUGAGAUCAAGUAGAAAUGGAUAAUGGGCCGGGUUUUUAGGCCUUGUCUUUAGGCUAAAUGUGCUUGCAUGAAUAUAUGUCCAUUUUGCAAAGUUUUUGGGCUAGAUUUUACAAAGCCCGGAAUCGUGGAACCAAACCGGUUUUCACGGUCCGGUUCCGGUUCGGUUCUAGGGUGCUAACGGUCCGGUUCUGGUUCCGAAAAUCCUAGAACCGUUAGGAACGGUUCGGUUCUAGUUUCACCCCAAAACUGGACCGAACUGACCCGUGUGCACCCCUACAAUGAAAUUGCCUAGUAAGUAUGAAUGUCUUAUAGACUCUUACAAAAAGUUUUUUAUAAUCUAAUUUACAAAGUCUAACCUAAUUAAACUAUUUUUCUUAGCUAACCAGUGGUCUACGUAUGGAGUAGACUCGGACAGGAAUGAUCCAGCUCUAAAGAAGCUGACCAUGAGGAUUCUUGGACUCACGUGUUCCGGUAGCGGCUGCGAGCGCAACUGGAGCACAUAUAAGGCGAUUCACGCCAAGAAAAAGAAUCGUCUUGAACAAAAGAAAGUCAAUGACUGGGUCUUCGUCCAAUAUAAUCAGAAACUGCGAGAACGAUUACAAGCUAGGUGAGAAAAGCCUAGUUUAUAUGACCCUAUUUGCUUAGAUGAGCUGAAUGCAUAUAAUGAGUGACUCGUAGAGACGAAAGACCCGGUCUUUGUUAGUGAAGAGCUUACAUGGGCCCAAGUUAAAGAUGUCGCAUUCGGCUCAACACCUGAAAAAAGGUACUUCCGCUUGAAGGCGGAGGAGAGGGGGACAAGCAGUAGCACUCAGCUGAUGGAAGAGAUUGAGGAGAUAGAAGAAGGAGAUGUUCAAGUUGGAGAUCAACUAUUGGAUAUUGAUGAACUACUAGUGCGUAUAGAAGAUGAAGAAAUAGAAGGAAAUGAUACGUAGGAGUGAUGACUUUGAUGAUGACGAUGGUGGUGGUCAAAUGCCAUAAUGGCAAGUGCAUCAAUGUAUAGAGUAUUAAACAUUUAGACUAUUAGUUUUAUUUUGUAAGUAAUGUAUAGAUAAGAAAUAUUAAGAUGUAACUUGAAAAUUGUAUUUGUACAAUAAAUAACUUAUUGAUUGUUUUGUUAACUA